rnacentral:lncRNA from 1 species
AAAUAUUCAAUAAAAUAAACUAUUUUCUUGUAAAAUAAUUUUUAUAAAGCUAUCGGUAAAUAAUUCUUAUAGCGUAAAAGUUAAUUAUAUUCAUAUAUACUAUAAAGCAAAUAACUAAAGCAUAAAAUUACUUUUACGGUGACACGUGGGCCCACAUCUAACCAAAAUGCAUCGGAAGCUGAAAACCUACAGCUUUUGCCGAUUCAAGUCCAAAUGAAGGUCCUUGUCAAAGUCAGCUAACU